UUUAAACCUAAAAAUGGAUGUCAAAUUUAAUACUAUCAAUAAAAAGAAUUCUAAAUAAUUAGUAUUUCAAUUAAUAAUAAUAGAAGAGUUAAUUUAAUUUGUCUCUAAAUAGUGGAAUAAGUUUAUUGACAUAAUAGGUGUUUAGUUUUAAUGGUUGAAUCCAUCUCUGAAUGGAAUUGACAGUUGAGUCCUUGUGUUUGUGUGGGUUUAAUGGUUGAAUCCGUGUCUGAAUGGAAUAUGCAUGAAGGGAAUUGAAUCCUGUUGUCUUAAAUUCAUACCAAUUAUUGUACAUUUAUAUAGCAUAAUUCAUGCAAGCCACUAUUUGAUGUGUUUUAGUACGUGCAAGUGUCUUACAUCAUGUGAUUGUGAAACAUGGAGUCGAGCAACAACUGACAGUGAUCUGUCCAUUUAGUUAUCCUGUACCGUGGCGGCCCUGUUCACUCGAACUGGGAAGUCUUGGUUUCUCUGUGAGGACACGCAUCAUUUUACAUGAUGUGUGCGGGUGGACAUGCAGUUUGGAGGAAUGUGGGUGUUCUUUAAAGCCAGGCCUGCAUCACUGUGAAGGUCAGGCUGGCUAUGUCAUAAAAUGUCAUGCUAGUAAGUCACAAGUGUUAUAUUAAUGUAGUGGUAGUGUUGCAUUGGAUAGUAUUAAUUUUUAGAUGUUAUGUGUCCCCCACUACAAGCCUACCAUAGUGAUUCUCCAGCCGCUUUCACGUUUACCGUACUGAUAUUGCAUGAGUUCGUAAUGCAUGCAGGAGUGUGUGAGUGAGGGUUUGUUAAUGUCAUUGUACUGUAAUAUUAAAUCUCUAAUUGGGUGUGUGUAAUGUAUGAUUGCACUGGCAUAUUUUGUGAAAUUGCCACUUGUUAUAAGGACACUUCUUUUUUCUAAACAGGAUGAAUUAUUCUCUCAUGAGUUAGGCUACUAUGUAUGAUGGAACUAAUUGGCGACAGCUAAUAAAACAAGUGAUGAAGUUGUGGCUUGAAGGAGUAUAGAGCCAAAGAACAUAUACGCAUGAUGAUGAAGCAGUGACCAACAAAAUAUAUUUACUUUUGGCACAGGGUUACGUCUUGACUACGUGGUUGGUGGUGGAAGGUUUUUGACAUAAUUGAUGGGUUAAAUUUUGGCGAUUUUAUUAGGUCUUAUCUUUUACUUGUCAAUGAUCACAACAUGUAAGGAACAAUAAUGCUUGUAACAGUGAUGCUCUCUCUCUUUCUGUCUUUUCUUCCCUUUCUCUUUCAUAGAAAUUUAAAAGGUUAUUUGUUACGUCAGUCUUUUUUCACUCCAACAAAAGGCCUUUUACUAUCUAAAUCCUCUAUAAUUUUAUAUAGUUUAACGAAAGUAUGUGUGCAUAUGUCAACCUGUCAAGAAGAUAUAGAGAACUGAACAGUAUAUAGGAGACUUAUAUGUGUGGUGAGUUACAAUUAAG